rnacentral:rRNA from 1 species
UACGUAGGGUGCGAGCGUUAAUCGGAAUUACUGGGCGUAAAGCGUGCGCAGGUGGUUCUCCAAGUCCGUUGUGAAAGCCCCGGGCUCAACCUGGGAAUGGCAGUGGAAACUAGGGGACUUGAAUCUGGCAGAGGGGGGUGGAAUUCCACGUGUAGCAGUGAAAUGCGCAGAUAUCAGGAGGAACACCAAUGGCGAAGGCAGCUCGCUGGGACGGUACUGACGCUGAGGCGCGAAAGCGUGGGGAGCGAACAGG